UAACAGGAGGAAAAAUUUGUACUGAUUGCAACCUCGGUAAAAAAUGCUAAAGCAGAAAUU
rfam:Myroides profundi strain D25, complete genome.